AGCGAACGCUGGCGGCGUGCCUAACACAUGCAAGUCGAACGUGAAAAGGGAAACCUGAGUAAAGUGGCGUACGGGUGAGUAACGCGUAGGUAAUCUACCCCAGAAUCUGGAAUAACCUGCCGAAAGGCGGGCUAAUACUGGAUAGAGCGAGGGAACUCGUAAGAGAGUUUUUCGGGAAAGGGAGCCCGCAAGGGCCUUCGUUCUGGGAUGAGCCUGCGUCUCAUUAGCUAGUUGGUAAGGUAACGGCUUACCAAGGCGAUGAUGAGUAGCUGGUCUGAGAGGAUGAUCAGCCACACUGGAACUGAAACACGGUCCAGACUCCUACGGGAGGCAGCAGUGGGGAAUCUUGCGCAAUGGACGAAAGUCUGACGCAGCCACGCCGCGUGAGUGAAGAAGGCCUUCGGGUUGUAAAGCUCUGUCGGAUGGGACGAACAUCUUCAUAGUGAAUAGCUAUGAGGACUGACGGUACCAUCGAAGGAAGCACCGGCUAACUCCGUG
rnacentral:rRNA from 1 species